UUGGCAGCACCUUAUAAAUUGCAUGAGUUAGAAAAGCAACAUUAAGUAAAAAGAAUUAGGCACAUUUGAUAAUUAAGUGAGGCAGGCGACAGACUUUUCUUGGAAAUGCUGUUUUAUUUUGGGCGAAUGAAAUGCUGAUACGGAUAAAGGCAAAUUCAUUCGGUCGAAUGAAUACAAGACAAGCCGAAUUCAGUUGAGAAGUCUAUAGCAUUGAAAUAUUACUGUUUUUACCGAAUGACAUACCAUUGGGUCGAAUGUAUGCGGUUUCGCAAAAUUGUUAUCUUUGCAAGUUUAUUCCUGAGGGCUUUUAGGGUUUUUUUUUUUACCCCUUUUGUUCCUUGGCUUAUAAAUACCCCUCAUUUCUGUAAAAAGAUGAGGAAGCCUAUUGUGAGAGCUCUUGUGUCUCACAUGAGAACAUCAAACAUUUAUUUGUUUUCGUAGUUUUAAACCCUAGAUUAGAUUUAAUGUUCUACAUUUAUGCUUUCUCUACAUUCAAGCUUCUCCAUUUAUGUAAGUUUAUUUCUUAAAUGCUUUAAUGUCUUUCUUUCUUUGAUGCUUUCUUAGUGUAAAUUUAUUGUUUUAUUGUCUUUCAAUUCUUCUAAUGUUUUCUAGAAUAGAUUUAAUGUUUCCCAUGUUUAUUGCUUUUAGCUCUAGUAUGUUUGAGUAGUUUUUUUGGGGGUUUUAGAUUAGAGAAACCCUAGGUUUGGUCUUGUGUUCAAUGUUUAGGAUUAGAGUUGAGGUUGAUGAUGAUAGUUGAUAAAUAUUCGAUUCGAAUCUUGUCCUGCCACUCCUAGAGGGACCAUACUUUUGUAAUUGAUUAUGUAAAGUAAUGUUGUGUUUAUUCUGUAAUAUGAUGUUGUAUAUCCCUUAAGGCUUAGACACCAAAAAUAAUUUGAAAGGAGUUUUAAAUUGGAAAUUUGAGGAUGGUUUGUGUUUGUUACCCACAUGGGGUUAAAUUAUUGGAAUGGAGUUUUUAUUGUUAUCGUUUCCAUGGCCGUUUUUCAUUACGGUCACCAUGGGGGUAUGUAUACUUUACCUUUGAUGACCCGAAUUGGAUGGACAACGUCUUAGGCCGAAGGUUGCCUUGGGAUUAGCUCUCCCAUGUGUAUUCAUCCAAACUUUUAUAUUACUCUGGCGACCCAAACUAGACGAGCAACGACAUGAGUUGGGAAUUGGAAAGUUAAAUAUGGUAUUUUAACUAUUAAAGCCUUUGCAUGCUAGGAUGAACUCAUUGCUUGUAUGUAACAUGUAUAAUACAUUGUAUGAAGUCUUUGAUUGGUUUGUGUUCUUUGGUGCUUGCUAUGAUGUUGUCAUUCAACAACUAGCAGGAUGAUUUGCAGGUGGGGCUAGUUUGUGAGGAUUCGAACGUUAGUACCAGUUAAUGAGUUGACUAUCACACACGAGUUUAUGUCAUUUUAUUGUUUGAACUUUACUAUUUAUUUUAGCAAGUACGUUUUAUUUUGGACUUUAUCUGAUUUUGAUGAGGCGCUUAGGCUCUCAAUUUGUAAACUUGAAAACUUUCGCUGAUUUAUUAUUUUCUUCUUUGGAUUACUUAUUUCUUUAUCACUAGAACAUCAACAAUCCUAGAAACGGUUUAACUUAAACAUCUGACGUGUGACCCGGAAUUCAUAUUUACAUGUGAAUAUACUGCUCACUUUAACCUGGACUAUUACAAGUUCAUUUAAAUGAUCAAGUGUGUUCCUUGCUAAAAGAAUAGGGUAUCUUGCAAAAGAUUUUUAGCAUUAAUCUUGAUAAUACGACCUCAAAUGAUGUAUUUGUUGAAUGUCUUAAGGGUGAACUUGAAUUGUUAUGUGCAGGAUAAUUUUUUCACGUGAGGUGUUGUGCACAUAUCAAAGAAUUUAGUUGUUCAAUAUGGAUUGAAAGAAAUAGAUGAUGUUGUGAUUAAGGUGAGAGAAAGUGUGAAAUGUUGUAAGGGAUUAAAAGCCAGAAAACAACAAUUCUUAAGUUGUAUUGACCAUGUAGGCCAUCAAAGCUCUAAAGGUUAAAAACAAGAUGUCAUAACACGAUGGAAUUUUAUAUAUUUAAUGUUUGAAAGUGCAUUGUAUUAUAAGAAAGCUUUAAUUCAUUUUCAGAAAGUUGAUGCUAACUAUAUUCAUUGUCCUACUGCGGAAGAAUGGGCUGAAAUUGAAAAACUUUAAGGUUUUAAAAGUUUUUUAUGAAUCUACUCUUACUUUUAUGGGAAUAAAUAUCCUACUGCCAACUUAUACUUUCCUAAUGUGUUAAGGGUAAGAUUGCUUUUAAAGAGUGAAAUGGAGAGUACAUAUGGUUUUAUGAAGAAAAUGGCUUGUAAGAUGUAUGAAAAUUAUGGGAAAUAUUAGAGUGACUUUAGCAUUAUUAUGGUUGUUGCUGUUGUUUAAGAUCCUAGGUUUAAGCUUCAAUUUUUUCAAUUGAGCUUUAAAAAAGCUCAUGGAAAUUGUGUAGAAUAUGAGGAAGAAUUGACUAAGGUAAGGGAAAAAAUACAGGAAAUUUAUAAUAUCUAUGGUCUUAAACUAUUCGGAACUUCUCCAAGACAAAAAUAUGAAAGUUUACAUGUUGGAAAUGUUGAAGAUGCUUCCGACGAGUUUAUGACCGACUUUGAUAGUUUCUCUAAUGAGCAUAGUACCGUGAGUAUGAAAUUUGAUUUAGAGAUGUAUAUUGAGGAGCAAUUCGUUCAGUUAAUCUUGAUAUUCUUGCGCAUUGGAAGACAAAUGCAUCUCGUUAUAUGUACUUUCUUUAAUGGCUAGAGAUAGUCUUGCCAUUCCUAUAUCUACUGUGGCUUCUGAAUCUGCAUAUAGCAUUGAUGGUCGUGUACUUGAUUGCUAUCAAAGUGCCUUGACGUCAAAUAUUGUCCAAGCUAUUGGUUGUCUAAAGGUUAAUCAUUUGAAGGAGCAAAAAUGGAAUCACAAUUGGAUGAGCUUUGUGGCGUGGUUAUGAAGAUAAAAGUUGAAGAAGAAGAAGAUAUAUCUUGCCCUAGUCCAAGUCCGAGUUUCAAUUAACAUGAAUUCAGCUCUAAAACAUCUUCCUCAACCCCCAUAUUUUAGAUUAUGAUGAUUUGUUAAAACUAAUUAUGAUGCUUUUGGUUGUUGCUUGUCAACUUAACAAUUAGUUGUUAUAUUUUGCUUUGUUAGUUGACUUUUGAAGACUUAUAACUAUGAAGUAUGCAUCCAUUUUUAGUAAGUUAGUAAUUUUCUUAUUAUGAAUAUGAUGAUAGUUGA